AAGUCGUAACAAGGUCUCCGUUGGUGAACCAGCGGAGGGAUCAUUACCGAGUACUACACUCAUAACCCUUUGUGAACCUUUAUAACCUGUUGCUUCGGCGGCGUCGUGCCUCACGGCCGCGCCCGCCGGUACCAUCAGAAUCUCUGUUCGAACCCGACGAUACUUCUGAGUGUUCUAAGCGAACUGUUAAAACUUUCAACAACGGAUCUCUUGGCUCCA
rnacentral:misc_RNA from 1 species